rnacentral:rRNA from 1 species
UACGGGAGGCAGCAGUGAGGAAUAUUGGUCAAUGGGCGCGAGCCUGAACCAGCCAAGUAGCGUGCAGGAUGACGGCCCUAUGGGUUGUAAACUGCUUUUAUGCGGGGAUAAAGUGCGGCACGUGUGCCGUUUUGCAGGUACCGCAUGAAUAAGGACCGGCUAAUUCCGUGCCAGCAGCCGCGGUAAU